CAGUAGCCGCGGUAAUACGAAGGGUGCAAGCGUUACUCGGAAUUACUGGGCGUAAAGCGUGUGUAGGUGGUUGUUUAAGUCUGUCGUGAAAGCCCUGGGCUCAACCUGGGAAUUGCGAUGGAUACUGGGCGACUAGAGUGCGGUAGAGGACAGUGGAAUUUCCGGUGUAGCAGUGAAAUGCGUAGAGAUCGGAAGGAACAUCUGUGGCGAAGGCGACUAUCUGGGCCAACACUGACACUGAGACACGAAAGCGUGGGGAGCAAACAGGAUUAGAUACCCGCGUAGUCCCUGUCUCUUAUAA
rnacentral:rRNA from 1 species